ACCUGGCUGGGGUCAUUCAAAGAAACCUUCUACAGGCAUAGCCCAGAGGCCUUCUCCUUGAGCAAGGCUGAGAAGCCAGACUGUAUGGAACGCUUGCAGCUGCAAAGGAGACUGGGUUGUCGGACAUUCCACUGGUUUCUGGCUAAUGUCUACCCUGAGCUGUACCCAUAUGAACCCAGGCCCAGGUUCUCUGGAAAGCUCCACAACACUGGACUUGGGCUCUGUGCAGACUGCCAGGCAGAAGGGGACAUCCUGGGCUGUCCUAUGAUGUUGGCUCCUUGCAGUGACAGCCGGCAGCAACAGGUGGGUAGUCAGACUUCUCAGGAUGGAUCAUAGCCCAAGAAGACUUGAAAGUGGGUGAUAUUUUUCUGGGAUGCCCCAUACUUCCCUUUGAGGUAUCUUCUUUCUGUGGUCCCAUGUCCCUUGACUGCCAUGGUCCCUCACUGUAAUGACUCAUCACAGCUGUCCUCACCUCACCUCCAUCUGUAAGCACAGACAUGGGCCAUUGUCAGAAAAUAAAAGCAUCUUAGUUAAAGGG
rnacentral:sRNA from 1 species